GUCGCACGAGAAAGGGAGCAAUCCUAAGUAAAGUGGCGCACGGGUGAGUAACACGUGGAUCAUCUACCUUUUAGUGGGGAAUACCUCUGGGAAACCGGAGACAAUACCGCAUAAGCCUGUAAAGGGAAAGCAGCAAUGCGCUGAAAGAGGAGUCCGCGGCCGAUUAGCUAGUUGGCGGGGUAAUGGCCCACCAAGGCGAAGAUCGGUAGCCGGCCUGAGAGGGCACACGGCCACACUGGCACUGAAACACGGGCCAGACUCCUACGGGAGGCAGCAGUGGGGAAUCUUGCACAAUGGACGAAAGUCUGAUGCAGCGACGCCGCGUGAGCGAUGAAGCCCUUCGGGGUGUAAAGCUCUUUCGACGGGAACGAUAAUGACGGUACCCGGAGAAGAAGCUGCGGCUAACUACGUGCCAGCAGCCGCGGUAAUACGUAGGCAGCGAGCGUUGUUCGGAAUUACUGGGCGUAAAGAGUGUGUAGGCGGUGUUCCCAGUCUGUUGUGAAAUCUCCCGGCUUAACUGGGAGGGUGCAGCGGAAACUAGAAUGCUAGAGGGUGGGAGAGGUAAGCGGAAUUCCUGGUGUAGCGGUGAAAUGCGUAGAUAUCAGGAGGAACACCUGUGGUGUAGACAGCUUACUGGACCACUUCUGACGCUGAGACACGAAAGCGUGGGUAGCAAACAGGAUUAGAUACCCUGGUAGUCCACGCCCUAAACGAUGCAUACUUGGUGUGAGCGAUUCAUUUCGUUCGUGCCGGAGCUAACGCGUUAAGUAUGCC
rnacentral:rRNA from 1 species